AGCGAACGCUGGCGGCAGGCUUAACACAUGCAAGUCGAACGGGCUUCUUCGGAAGUCAGUGGCAGACGGGUGAGUAACACGUGGGAACGUGCCCUUCGGUUCGGAAUAACUCAGGGAAACUUGAGCUAAUACCGGAUACGCCCUUUUGGGGAAAGGUUUACUGCCGAAGGAUCGGCCCGCGUCUGAUUAGCUUGUUGGUGGGGUAACGGCCUACCAAGGCGACGAUCAGUAGCUGGUCUGAGAGGAUGAUCAGCCACACUGGGACUGAGACACGGCCCAGACUCCUACGGGGGGCAGCAGUGGGGAAUAUUGGACAAUGGGCGCAAGCCUGAUCCAGCCAUGCCGCGUGAGUGAUGAAGGCCUUAGGGUUGUAAAGCUCUUUUGUCCGGGACGAUAAUGACGGUACCGGAAGAAUAAGCCCCGGCUAACUUCGUG
rnacentral:rRNA from 1 species